rnacentral:rRNA from 1 species
AACUGCGAAUGGCUCAUUAAAUCAGUUAUCGUUUAUUUGAUAGUACCUUACUACUUGGAUAACCGUGGUAAUUCUAGAGCUAAUACAUGCUAAAAACCCCGACUUCGGAAGGGGUGUAUUUAUUAGAUAAAAAACCAGCGCCCUUCGGGGCUCCUUGGUGAUUCAUAAUAACUUAACGAAUCGCAUGGCCUUGCGCCGGCGAUGGUUCAUUCAAAUUUCUGCCCUAUCAACUUUCGAUGGUAGGAUAGUGGCCUACCAUGGUAUCAACGGGUAACGGGGAAUUAGGGUUCUAUUCCGGAGAGGGAGCCUGAGAAACGGCUACCACAUCCAAGGAAGGCAGCAGGCGCGCAAAUUACCCAAUCCCGACACGGGGAGGUAGUGACAAUAAAUACUGAUACAGGGCUCUUUAGGGUCUUGUAAUUGGAAUGAGUACAAUUUAAAUCCCUUAACGAGGAACAAUUGGAGGGCAAGUCUGGUGCCAGCAGCCGCGGUAAUUCCAGCUCCAAUAGCGUAUAUUAAAGUUGUUGCAGUUAAAAAGCUCGUAGUUGAACCUUGGGCCUGGCUGGCCGGUCCGCCUCACCGCGUGUACUGGUCCGGCCGGGCCUUUCCUUCUGGGGAGCCGUAUGCCCUUCACUGGGCGUAUUGGGGAACCAGGACUUUUACUUUGAAAAAAUUAGAGUGUUCAAAGCAGGCCUUUGCUCGAAUACAUUAGCAUGGAAUAAUAGAAUAGGACGUGCGGUUCUAUUUUGUUGGUUUCUAGGACCGCCGUAAUGAUUAAUAGGGAUAGUCGGGGGCAUCAGUAUUCAAUUGUCAGAGGUGAAAUUCUUGGAUUUAUUGAAGACUAACUACUGCGAAAGCAUUUGCCAAGGAUGUUUUCAUUAAUCAGUGAACGAAAGUUAGGGGAUCGAAGACGAUCAGAUACCGUCGUAGUCUUAACCAUAAACUAUGCCGACUAGGGAUCGGGCGAUGUUAUCAUUUUGACUCGCUCGGC